rnacentral:tRNA from 1 species
GCGUAAUUGGUUUAGUGGUAAAAUUCUCCGUUGCCAUUCUCGUGAAUUCGGGGAGCCCUGGGUUCGAUUCCCAGAUUACGCA